CGCGUAGGCGGGAUGGCAAGUCGGUCGUGAAAUCCCUCGGCUCAACCGAGGAGCGUCGGCCGAUAUUGCCGUUCUUGAGGGAUGCAGAGGAGACUGGAAUUCCCGGUGUAGCGGUGAAAUGUGUAGAGAUCGGGAGGAACACCGGUGGCGAAGGCGGGUCUCUGGGCAUCUCCUGACGCUGAGGCGCGAAAGCGUGGGAGCAAACG
rnacentral:rRNA from 1 species